rfam:Camelus ferus unplaced genomic scaffold scaffold172, whole genome shotgun sequence.
GAGGGAAUAGCUCAGUGGUAGAGCGCAGGCUCAGUAUGCAUGCGGUCCUGGGUUCAAUCCCCAGGACCUCCA